GUAUAAGAUACAGGUGAGUCAUCGAAUCUUUGAACGCAACUUGCGCCCUCUGGUAUUCCGGAGGGCAUGCCUGUCUGAGUGUCGUGUGGACUCGACCCCCUGGGUUUCCCGGGGAGGCCGGAUGUGGGCCCUGCCGUCAAUGGCUGGCCUGAAAUGAAUGAGCGGGACUGACGUCCAUGUCGGGAGUAAUAAGUUUCUUCUGACGGCCGACGGCGCCUGCUGCGAACCCCCCGUUUCUCGACUCUGACCUCAGAUCAGGUAGGGCUACCCGCUGAACUUAAGCAUAUCAAUAAGCGGAGG
rnacentral:misc_RNA from 1 species